rnacentral:rRNA from 1 species
UCAAGUAAUUAAGGGCGUAUGGGGGAUGUCUUGGCGUCGAAAGGCUUUGAUAGGCGUGGAAGUCUGCGAAAAGCCCGGGGGAAUUGACAAACGAGUGCUGAUCCCGGGAUUCCUGAGCUAACCUGGUGAACUGAAACAUCUAAGUAACCAGAGGAAGAGAAAGAAAAAUCGAUUCCGUAAGUAGCGGCGAGCGAAAGCGGAAUAGCCCAAACCGUGAAGAUUUUCUUCGCGGGGUUGUAGGGCUUCUCACAUGGGAGUUAGAAAACAUCUGUUAAUAGAAAAGUGUGGAAACGCUUACCACAGAGGGUGACAGUCCCGUACAUGAAAACAGCAUGUCUCCCGAGAAGUUCCUGAGUAGGUCGGGCCACGUGAAAUCCUGACUGAAUCUACGGGGACCAUCCCGUAAGGCUAAAUACUCUUCGACGACCAAUAGUGCAAAGUAGGGCGACCGAAAGAUGAGAAGAACCCCUUUUAGGGGAGGUAUGUGAACCUGAAACCAUACGCUUACAAGCGGUCGGAGCACUAUGAUUCGUUCAGUGUGACGGCGUGCCUUUUGCAUAAUGAUCCGGCGAGUUACCGUUUGCAGCUAGGUUAAGGCCUUACGGGCCGAAGCCAUAGGGAAACCGAGUCUUAAUAGGGCGAUUGUGUUGCGGGCGGUAGACGCGAAACUGCGUGAUCUACCCAUGAGCAGGUUGAAGCGCGAGUUAUAUCGCGUGGAGGACCGAACCCACUUGGGUUGAAAACCGAGGGGAUGACUUGUGGGGAGGAGUGAAAGUCUAAUCAAACGCAGAGAUAGCUCGUUCUCUCCGAAAUAUCUUUAGGGAUAGCCUCGAGCCACUAUGCACUGGGGGUAGAGAUACUGAAUUGGAUGGGGGCCCUUCCCGGGGUACCCCACCGAACCAAACUCCGAAUACCAGUGUAAUUAUCUCGGGAGUCAGUCCGCGAGGGAUAAGCUUCGCGGUCGAGAGGGAAACAACCCAGACCAUCUGCUAAGGUCCCGAAUUUAUACUUAGUCACUAAGGAAGUUGAUUUGCUAAGACAGCCAGGAUGUUGGCUUAGAAGCAGCCACCAUUUAAAAAGUGCGUAACAGCUUACUGGUCGAGCAGAUCUGCGCCGAUAAUGAACGGGAGUAAGUAUAAAACCGAAGCAGUGGAUUUAGUAAAUCUUCGGAUGAACUAAGUGGUAGGAGAGCGCUGUACGUCAGAUACAAGCCGUACCGGAAGGAACGGUGUCGGGGCGUACAGGUGAUUAUGCCGGAAUGAGUAACGAUAAAACAGGUGAGAAUCCUGUUCGCCGAAAGCCUAAGGUUUCCUGGGGAAGGUAAUUCCGCCCAGGGUUAGCCGGUUCCUUAGUCAAGGCCGAAAGGCGUAGACGAUGGAUAGCAGGUCAACAUUCCUGCGCCGCAACGUGGAGUGAUGGAGGGACGGCGUCCGGAAAGUGAGCGGUACGAUUAGAAAUGUCCGUGGAGUUCACUGAGACGAGGGAUAGGAAAAUCCGCCCUCAUCAAGUCAAGGUGUUCGACCGACUGCUCAUAUGUUCAGGAAGUCAUUGGAAGGACGUCCAAGAAAAGCUUCUAAACUUUGAAGCGUUUGCGACCGUACUAAAACUGACACAGGUAGGCGAGACGAGUAGUCUAAGGCGCUCGGGAGAACGGUGGUUAAGGAACUCUGCAAAAUGACCCCGUAAGUUCGCGAUAAGGGGUGCCUGCGAAAGCAGGCCACAGUAAAUCGGCUCUAGCGACUGUUUAUCAAAAACACAGGUCUCUGCUAACACGUAAGUGGAUGUAUAGAGACUGACGCCUGCCCGGUGCCGGUAGGUUAAGGAAGAGGGUUAGCCUUCGGGCGAAGCUCGCGACCGAAGCCCCGGUAAACGGCGGCCGUAACUAUGACGGUCCUAAGGUAGCGAAGUUCCUUGUCGGGUAAGUUCCGACCUGCAUGAAAGGCGUAACGACUGGAGCACUGUCUCAACCACCGACCCGGUGAAAUUGUAGUCGUGGUGAAGAUGCCACGUACCCGCGGUUAGACGGAAAGACCCCGUGAACCUUUACUGUAGGCUGAUAUUGGGCUGAGGUAUAUUUUGUGUAGGAUAGGUGGGAGACUUUGAAACGGGAGCGCCAGCUCUUGGUGAGUCGUCCUUGAAAUACCACCCUGGAUAUGCUUUAGUUCUAACCCUGAUCCUGUGAAACCAGGCAGGGAACAGUGUCAGUUGGGCAGUUUGACUGGGGCGGUCUCCUCCCAAAGAGUAACGGAGGAGUGCAAUGGUUCCCUCAGCCUGGUUGGUAAUCAGGCGAAGAGCGCAAAGGUAGAAGGGAGCUUAACUGCGAGACUUAUCAGUCGAGCAGAUACGAAAGUAGGUCUUAGUGAUCCUGUGGUUCCGAAUGGAAGGGCCAUAGCUCAUCAGAUAAAAGGUACUCCGGGGAUAACAGGCUUAUCGCUCCCGAGCGUCCAUAGCGGCGGAGCGGUUUGGCACCUCGAUGUCGGCUCAUCACAUCCUGGGGGUGAAGAAGCUCCCAAGGGUUUGGCUGUUCGCCAAUGAAAGUGGUACGUGAGCUGGGUUCAGACCGUCGUGAGACAGGUCGGUCCCUAUCUGCCGUGGGCGUACGAAACUUGAGGAGGUUCUUCUUUAGUACGAGAGGAUUUGGAAGGACGUAGCUCUGGUGUACCAGUUGUCACGCUAGUGGCACGGCUGGAUAGCUAACUACGGAAAGGAUAAACGCUGAAAGCAUCUAAGCGUGAAGCCUUCUCCAAGAUGAGGUUUCGUAGACUUUAUGUCGAAAUCCCCCUGGAAGACUACCAGGUUGAUAGGCCGGAUGUGUAAGCACAGUAAUGUGUUCAGCUAACCGGUACUAAAGGG